rnacentral:misc_RNA from 1 species
UAGAGUUUUCUAAACUCCCAACCCAUGUGAACUUACCUUUUGUUGCCUCGGCAGAAGUUAUAGGUCUUCUUAUAGCUGCUGCCGGUGGACCAUAAAACUCUUGUUAUUUUAUGUAAUCUGAGCGUCUUAUUUUAAUAAGUCG